CCCUCAAGGCAAAAGGUGUAGAAACUGUGAAGCACUCCAUUCUGUUUAUGAUUUCUAUUUAUGAUUGACGCUGCUGUUUAAAGCUAUUUUUUAUGUCUGCCUUAUUUGUAUUAUUACAUAGUUGGGGAGGACAGGGGAGAAAGGGUGGACAGCUCCCUGUCCAGUAGUUGUAGCUGGUUAUAGGUCUUCAUGAGGAAGCGCCGACAGACGGACAGCUGUGCGAGUUCGCAUUUUCUAAUAUAACAGCAGCACGAGCGAUGGCUUCGGCGUAGCAUUUCGUACUGUGUUUUUCAUAAAGCGGUGAAGUCGACAUUGUGAAUGUUUUAUUCUGUGCUAGUUUCGUGGUGUCCGUGUGUUGGCAUGACAUAGCAGCUACGAGCAAGAGCCGAUUCGAUUAUGGGAACAUUCAGGUUUGAGGAACCCUGAUCCGAUUGGCUCCGGCACCGCCCUACCAGGUGACCCUACAGCGGGGGAGACGGGUAAGGAGACCCAGCCACAGCCUCCCCUGUCCAACAGUGCGUUGCACUGUGCCCACCACUACAACCAUGUCCACCCCCAGCGGCAGCCCUGAGAGAGAGGGCUCCACAGGGGGACCCAACCAGCUGGAGUGUCCCCUCUCCUCUCCCCCUGGCAUGGACCAUUCCAUGGGCAGCCCCCUGCUCAGCCCGGACUCAUCUUGCCAAGAUGCCAUGCUCUCAGGGCAUCGUGAGGCUGCAGUCUUGGUUCAGCUGGGAGGCACACACCUUGCAGCACCCGCAGCCGUCAGCCACCGCACUCGCCCCGGGGGGGCACAGCUGGACACUCACAUACCGCCGGGCAGCUGGCACCCACCUGGAGGUGUGAGGAGGAGAGAGGAGAGGUUUAGGUUCCUAGGCAUAAACUGAAAGAAGCAUAGGAAAGUAAAAAGUCAUUUUUGUCAUGUAAUUUCUUGUUGUGGUCUGCCUUCAUGGGUAAAACACUACUAGUGAUAAAGAUGUUCUAGGAGUCUAUUUUGAUCAUUUUAUAUUAAUUUUGAGAUGUCAACUGAUAGUUUAAUUUGAUUAUUGUGUCCCCUUUGGAGUGGUUUUGAACACUGUUUACAAUGAAUUUAUGUACUUUAACUUCAAUUUGAAGCUCAUAAUUUCUACCCCUCCAUCCCUGUGGAUGUCUUGUCUGUCUAGGCAGCUGUUUAAGUGUUGUAUCCAAUCCCCUGCCAACUCGUGAAUCGAAUAGCAGUACAUUAGUCUUCCGUGCCAACUUCUUCCAGUAAAAAAAAUCAACAGUAUGUAAAAGUCCCACCCUUAGACAGUGAGUCAAAGUUAUUUGACAAGCACACACAUGCCUAUAAAAAAAAAGGCACAAUUCAAGGUAGGACUGGUGGGCUACAAAAAUGUUCGGUUACAUUUUACAUUAGUGCCCUUAUAACAGUGAUUAUUCCUGUAAUCACAGUGUAACAAGUAUUGUAAUUACUCAUUAGUACACUGGGUUAGGGUUAAGGAUUACUACUGUAAGUACAUUGUUACAAUUAGUUACAAUGAGUAAUUACAAAAUUACACGAGCAGUUACACAGUAGCACUGUCUUGUAAAAGUGUUACCAAAUAGUCUGUAGGCUACAGCAGUUUGAAAAUAUAUAUCUUCAGGCAACAGAAAAAAAACGGUAGACAAAGUUCUCACUUGUGUCUCUCUAAAAUACAAUUACUUGCGUAUGACAGUCAAAUCACCUCCAACUGCUCAUUACAAAACGGUCUAAGCAAUCCACUCAUCCAUUGCUAUUUUGUUGCAUGAUUUGCAUAUGAUCAAAAUCAUACUAAUUUGACAGCUGCCAAGGUGAUACGACUUACCUGACUGGUGACUGCCAUUGUCAAGAAAACAAAGAUGAUACGUUUUGCCAUAAUUAUUGAAAAUUCCAAAGAAACAGUAGACAG